rnacentral:lncRNA from 1 species
CGAUUGUAUCUCUCGAAAACAAGAACAAUGAGGGGGCUGGGAUGAAAAGCAAAGCUCUCCCACUCUAGGCAAUUGAUUUCCUUCACCCAACAAUCAUCAAUCUCCCCCUCCCAAUCGAUCUCAACUCCAUCUUCUCCUACUACAUUUUUUAUUGGAUGCUUGUCAAAAUACUCUGAUGCUCUAAUUCCCCAUCCAACAUCUGCAUCUAGAGGCCAAUCUGGAUCUACUACGUUUUUUAUUGGAUGCUUGUCAAAAUACUCUGAUGCUCUAAUUCCCCAUCCAACAUCUGCAUCUAGAGGCCAAUCUGGAUCAUCCUCCUCAACGAUCAUUUUCUUUUCUUUCAUAUCCCUGCUGUUGUCAUCUUCAU